rnacentral:rRNA from 1 species
CAGCCGCCGCGGGAAUACGGAGGGCGCGAGCGUUACCCGGAUUUACUGGGCGUAAAGGGCGUGUAGGCGGCCUGGGGCGUCCCAUGUGAAAGGCCACGGCUCAACCGUGGAGGAGCGUGGGAUACGCUCAGGCUAGAGGGUGGGAGAGGGUGGUGGAAUUCCCGGAGUAGCGAUGAAAUGCGCAGAUACCGGGAGGAACGCCGAUGGCGAAGGCAGCCACCUGGUCCACUUCUGAAGCUGAGGCGCGAAAGCGUGGGGAGCAAACCGGAUUAGAUACCCCAGUAGUCCCUGUCUCUUAUAC